rnacentral:rRNA from 1 species
AUCGACAAUCCACGUUAANUUUCACUUUAAUUUAAAAUUUAUAUAUCCCCAUCUUAAGAUUUAAUUAAAAAAUAUUUCUCCCAAUAAAUAAUAAAAAGUUAGGCCAAGGUGUAAUCUAUAUUAAAGAAUAAGAUGAAUUACAUUAAAUAUUAUUUAAAGAUUAUUAAUAAAUAUACAAAUAUAAAUAAGAAUUUAAAAGUAAUAUAAAUAAUAAUAAUAAUAUAUGACAAAGAUAAUAAAUGUGCACACAUCGCCC